rnacentral:tRNA from 1 species
CGGCUUUUAGUUCAACGGUAGAACACAAACUUUGCAAGUCUGAGAUAACAGUUCGAUUCUGUUAUAGUCCA